UACGUAGGGUGCGAGCGCUAAUCGGAAUUACUGGGCGUAAAGGGUGCGCAGGCGGUUGUGCAAGACAGAUGUGAAAUCCCCGGGCUUAACCUGGGAAUGGCAUUUGUGACUGCACAGCUGGAGUGUGUCAGAGGGGGGUAGAAUUCCACGUGUAGCGGUGAAAUGCGUAGAUAUGUGGAGGAAUACCGAUGGCGAAGGCAGCCCCCUGGGAUAACACUGACGCUCAUGCACGAAAGCGUGGGGAGCAAACAGG
rnacentral:rRNA from 1 species